rnacentral:tRNA from 1 species
GGACCUGUAGCCUAGCCUGGAUAAGGCGACAGCCUUCUAAGCUGUAGAUCCGGGGUUCGAAUCCCCGCAGGUCCG